CAAGCUUAAGUAUCACAUGGUUUCUCUUAUAUGGGUAACCCAAAGUAUAAAGCAAUUAAAGAGCAAAAUAAAGUAACAGGAGCAAGAAGAUAGAUCUUCUCCAGAAGGGAAGAGAGCCAAGAGCCAGAGGGAGGGGAGAGCAGAGGAAGAGGGAUGCAGGAGUUCACAGGCAGAUCAAAUACAAAUUGACCCAAGGCAGACCUUGAAAAGGAAGAUUUCAAGUGCGUUCUUUCCUAAAGCUCGGGUGUCAGCAGCUGAAGACUCACAGCCCCAUAUCCAUCAAGCCGUGACCGACCCAGGAGAGCUCUGCGGAAGAGAAGACAGCAGCUCCUCCCCAGUCUUCGGUCUCCCCGGGGCAGAACCGGCUUCCCACCUGGACAGAGGCAGGACUCGCCUUUCCCACCUGUUGGGAAGCUCAUUUCCAGCCAAUUCCAGCUCAGACCGGCCUAGAACCUUGCGGUGACCCUGCUGUCUCUCCCCGUGGCCCAACCCAGCGCUCUCUCAGCCGCCAGUUUUGGCCUGAUCGAACUAAAUCUCAUUUUAUAUUUUAACACCACUUGCAGGUUAGAAAGCACUGCGAAGUGUAGACCUCAAUUAUUUUAUAAUGCUUUUCACAGAAUAAGCCCUCAGAAAUAGAGCCAGGGUUAUUAUUUGCGUUUUCUAGAAGACAGUCUGAACUUCAGAGAGAAUACACGACUGUCCAAAGCCCAGAUUCAGAGCUUCUGUGGCCGCUACCCAAGGCCUCCUGAGGCCCUACGCACUCGAGGCGUCUUAAAAAUGAGUCCCUUCGUUGUCAGGUGCUUGCUGCUAUGGGAGAUCAGCUACCCUGAGCCUGAAAGGGAAUGGUUUUAAGGCGUCUGUGCAGAGGGAGAUGAAUGCCAGAGUGUUUCUUGUCAUUCGAGCCCUAAGUAUCUUCUGAUGCAAAGAUCACUUCAGUGCUCAUGGUGCAUUUUACUCUGGAUAAGACUUGUUUAAAAACAUUGCCCCCCACACAAAAAAACUACCCUACACUCUACUCCAUUUUGAACUGAAUGUGGACCUAGCCUCUCCCAUCAACAGCACGGGGACCCCCUGCCCCCUAGGGUCUGUGAUCUCUGGGAAGGGGGCCGGCUAAGAGAUUGUGUGCAUCUCAGGCUUGCUUGUCUAGGCGCGAACAUUUCAGAAACCUUGCUUCUGACCUCUCCGUGCAGGUCAUUAAUAAGUAAAGUUCCAGGUGGUCAUUCUCCAUAGAACAAUAAGAAGACAACUAAAAGCAAGCUCAAGGGCCCAUUGGAAAAUUGCUGAAAAAUCCUGCAUUUUUUAGAAACCAAAAGAUUAUUUUCUAAAAAGAAAACCAUUUCCAUUGCGUGGGGCACAGUAGAAUACACAAUCUGAAUUAAAUGCAGAUGAAGAGUCGUGGUAGAGACAUUUAUAGCUAAAUGGAAGCACAUUGCGGCGAUACUCUUAAGUGAAAUCAAUAGGACACACCUGUGUAAAUACUGAAUAGUUUCUCUGGUGUGAGAAACUGAGAGUGUAAAUAAGGACUAAAUG
rnacentral:lncRNA from 1 species